CUGGUUUAAAUACAAACUAGCGGUCAAGACUGGAUCACAGCGGAGUGAUCGCUAUGACUCAUGGAUCUGGCCUCGUUCUGUGAAUAAAUCUAUCACAGUCAGACAGAUUGACAAUUUGAUUGAUUGAUGAUGAAGGAUGUUUGGUUGGACUCAAUGGAGCAUAAGAGACAAAGAGGAAUCUGGCAUAUAUAAACAUGUUUUUUUUUCCAAAAAAUAUGCUGUAUUAAGAAGGAAAAACAACAAUGGAGAAAAACAUUAUGUGUUUCCAGAGAGACCCUCCGGCAUCAGCUCCAUCUGUCACAGAAUGUCUUCAGAGUGGGCAGAGACAUCACUGUGCCAAAGGCGCUAAAACUGAGAGAUACAGCAGUUUCGCAUGGAAGAAUCUCACAUAACCAAGAAAUUAAUUCAGUAAUUAUCCUAACAUCCUGCUAACUAGCUACACAACCUUACAGCCAAAAUUUGUUGAAGGUAUGUACACAAUUAAGCACUAGACACCCACUAGGUUGACCAGGGAGAUUGGUGUGAAUAUUAGUGAGAGAACAAACAAAGGAGCACCAUGAACAGGACAGGAUAGAGAGAGAGAGAUUCAUGUUCAACCCAGUUUUUGUUCAGUGCAGUAUCCAGGCUUGAGACAGAUUUCUACCUCAGCACUUUUGUAAUGACAUCACCGGCCCAGAGAGCACUUAAAGCGGAACCGCGUAAUGUGAUUUUUGCGUGUCCAUGCUUUUAAUGAAACAAAGCAUGUGGCAGAAUUACUCCCACGAGUGUGACAGUAGUUAUUCAGUUAUUCAGUAGUGAAAAUGUCUCAUUUACACUUCAUGUAGGGCAUUGCUACUACAGUACAUCAUGGUUUCUCCUCUUCUCAGGCUAUAACAUUGCAUAAAAAAACUUAGAACUGAGUGGUGAUCAUUUUAAGAGCAAAUCCAUCUAUCUAUCUAUCUAUCUAUCUAUCUAUAUGUAUUAUUUAUAAUGAACAUUAGCUGUAUGUCUCUAGCAUUUUUGGCUUGCAAUAGCUUCCUCUCCCAAAGACAUUUUGCAGUUUGCAGAUACGAUGCCUUGCUGACCCUUCCACCCCCAUCUUUAUUUUUAUCAAGCACAGUAAUACUUUGUGAAAAUAGAAAUGGCUUGCAUUGAAAAGCAUUGAUUUUUCAUGCGUCACCUAGUUUGUUUUGCAGCUGCUGCCCUCGGCCAGCAUCGUCAUCUCACUCAUUCCUGACAUCAAAGCUCUGUGGGGUCAGCUACAGUACGUUAACCUUUCCUCUCACCGCGAGUCCAUCGACCUGCUUGGAUCAUCAUCUGACAGGCUGUCCUGUUUAGACAUCUAAACGAAUUAGGCAGCCUCAAUCUACUGCCACUAUCCAAACCAAGUUCAACUGUCCAAAAUCCCCAUCAGGACCAUCUGCCAGUGUUUGGACACGAGUCAAAGGUGAUAUUAAAGCAGAUGUUAGUCAGUCUCCAGGCGUUUCUCUCAGUCUGCACGGCUCACUCACGCCCUCUACCUGACGGUCCAGUCAUUACCUGUCUGGCCAGGACAUCCAAAUCAAGAAGAGGCCAGUGGCGUCCGAACACAGUGAGA